AUGAAGUUCGGCAAGAGCCUGAGCAGCCAGAUCGUGGAGACGCUGCCGGAGUGGCGCGACAAGUUCCUGUCCUACAAGGACCUCAAGAAGCGGCUUAAGCUCAUCGGCCUCGGCGCCGACGGGGAGGAGCGGCAGGCCAAGCGGGCCCGCGUCUCGGAGCCGGCCGGGGACGGCGACGAGACAGCGGCGGCGGCGGCCGCGGCGAUGACGCCUGAGGAGGCGGACUUCAUGCGGCUCCUGGAGGCCGAGCUCGACAAGUUCAAUUCUUUCUUCGUCGAGAAGGAGGAGGAGUACAUCAUCCGCCAGAAGGAGUUGCAGGACAGGGUGGCCAGGGCGGCCGGGAUGGAGUCCAGGGAGGAGUUGCUGCGUGUGCACAAGGAGAUCGUCGACUUCCAUGGCGAGAUGGUGCUGCUUGAGAAUUACAGCGCCCUCAACUACACCGGGCUGGUGAAGAUUCUCAAGAAGUAUGACAAGAGAACUGGGGCUCUGAUCCGUCUGCCUUUCAUCCAAAACGUGUUGCUUCAGCCUUUCUUCACCACUGACCUCCUGUACAAGCUUGUGAAGGAGUGUGAGGCUAUGCUUGACCAGCUCCUGCCAUCAAACAAACCAUCUGUAUCAAUUGAAGAGGGCAAAGAAGAUGGCAACACUGCGGACCAGCCUCUGAACCCCAGUUCUUCCUUGGCUAACAGCAGAUGUAUUCCAGAGCUUGAUGAGAUUGAGUUCAUGGAGAGCAUGUACAUGAAGAGCACGGUCGCGGCGCUUAGGGCUCUGAAAGAGAUCCGAAGCAAAAGCUCGACAGUCAGUGCUUUCUCGUUGCCACCUCUUCAGGGAAACAAUGCACCCGAAGAGCAGGAAAGGUGGACGAAGAUAUCUGUGAUCGAGCAGGCUGCCAAAUGA
rnacentral:rRNA from 1 species